rnacentral:lncRNA from 1 species
GUCUUUCUGUCACUUUUACCUAUUUCAGGUGUGUCCAGUCUCAGCUGGGAAUGGAAGAUGCUUUGCAUAUCUUUAAAAUCUUCGGGCCAUAGAGUUGGGGAGAGUACAGAAAGAAUACCACAGAACUUUUACGCCAGAAAAUGGCAGGUGCUCCGAGGGCAAUGUUGGAAUGCUUGGAGUGCAUAAAAAUACCAAGUUGGGCGUCCUUGCUCCCAGUCUUUCCAGAUGUUCUUCCCACUCCUCAACUGCUCCUGGCUCAGAAACCCUGCACACCUGGAAGAAAGUGAGAACCAGUUUUUCAAUAAACACCUUGCACAGACUUAUUGUGAACCCCGGGUGGAAUCAAGCAUCGGAGGGAGAAGAGAACGUGUAAUAUUGACUCCAAUCCAGAAGACAGUCAUCAGUUAAGUAAAUAAAACAGGAACAGAACAUUGGUACUUACAGUAGGCAUGAUUUUAAGAUAAACCCCAAUGAGUCAUACCCUUGUAUAAUCUCCUCCCCUUGAGUGUUGUUGGAGCUAAGGAGUUGCAUUUAGUGAACAGAAUAUGGCAAAGAUGGUGGGAUCGUCACUUCCGUGGUUACGUUAUUGCUAUGUAAACUGCCAUUAUAGCAGACUGGAAGGAUUGAUUCUCCUUUUGGCCAUGAAGUAGUGAGGUGCCAUGUGACAAGAAACUGCAGGCAGCCUCCUGAGUCUGAGAGUGGUCCCUGGCUGACAGCUAGCAAGAAAACACGGACUUCAGUCCUCCAGCUUCAAGGAAGUGAACUCUCUGAAAUCACAUACACAUGGAAGAGGACCCCAAACUCCAGACUCCAGAAAAGAAUGCAGCUGUGUCGACACCUAGAUCACAGCCUUGUGAGACCCUGAGCAGGGGACCCAGUUAGGCUGUGCCUCAACUCCUGACCUAUAGAAACUGAGAUGGUAAAUGGGUGUUGUUUUAAGCCACUAAACUGGGAUGUGUUAUGAAAUGACAGAAAUUUAAUACAGUCUCCGUAUUCAGGGUGGAGUGUAAGAGAGUGUGUUUAAAUCUCAGCUUUGCUACUUAUUAGAUGUACAACCAUGGCAAAU